rnacentral:tRNA from 1 species
GGAACAAUACCCAAGAGGCUGAAGGGGGUGGUUUCGAAAACCAUUAGGGUGUCAUAGCCGCGGGGGUUCAACUCCCUCUUGUUCCGCCA